rnacentral:rRNA from 1 species
UAGGGGAAAAUUUGUUGUUUUUUUUAUUUUGUUUUUUUUAUUAAAAAUAAUUUUGUUUGUUAUAUAUUAAAUUAAAUUAGUAGAUUUUGUUGAAUUUUUUUUUAUUAGAAAAUGUAAAAGUAUUGAUGAAGAAAUUUUAGAUUAAGGGUUAAGAAUGUUUAAUUUAUAGUACCUUUUGUAUCAGGGUUUAUGGAAUAAAAUUUAAAUAUUUUUGAUUUUCCCGAAAGGAGAAGAUUUAAAAAUUUAUUUAUAUUAAUGUGAAAAGUUAAGAUAAAAUAAAUUUUUUGUAAUGAAAAGUUAAUCGUUUCUGUUAUUUCUGGUUGCUUUAUAAUAAAAUUUAAUUUUUUUUUUUUUUGUUAAUUUUAAUGUAUUUUUUAUUUUUAAUAAAGAAAAAUUAAUUAAUAUAAAGAUAAUUUUGUAUUUGUUUUAUAAGUUAUGUUUUUUUUGUUAUUGUUAUUUUUAGUUGAAUUAAAAUUGUUUAUUUAAAGUAGUUUUUAAUAAAAAUUUAUUUAUAAAAUUUUAAUUUAGGGGGUUAAUUGUUGUUUAAUAUUUAUUAUAUAAAGUUAAUUAAAAUAGUUUUGGAGUUUUUUUAAUUAUUAAAAAAUUAGUAUAGUGAUUUUUGUGGUUAAUUAAGUUAAAUUAAUUUUAUUGGAAUUUGGCAAAAGUUUUUUUCGCUGGUUUAUCAAAAACAUGGCUUUAAGAGAAUUGAUUUUAGGUCGUUUCUGCUCACUGAUUAAUAAAAUUAUUAAAGGGCCGCAGUAAUUUGACUGUGCAAAGGUAGCAUAAUAAAUAGUUUUUUAAUUGAAAACUGGAAUGAAUGAAUUGAUGAAAGAUUAACUUUCUUUAAUUUUAGGUUAGAAUUUUAAUUUUGAAUAAAAAUUUUCAAAUUUUUUUAAAAGACGAGAAGACCCUAUAGAUUUUUAUUUUUAGUUAGUAAAAUUGAAUUAUAUUUUUGUUUUUGGUGGUUUUAUUAAUGAAAAUUUUGUUGGGGUGAUAUAAGGAGAUUAAAAUCUUUUUAAUAAUUUUUGUUUAAUUAUAUUUAUUUUUUAGAUCCUUUUUUUGGAUUGUUAGAUUAAAUUACCUUAGGGAUAACAGCAUAAUUUUAUUGGAAAGUUCAUAUUAAUAGUAAAGAUUGUGACCUCGAUGUUGAAUUAAGAUGAAAAGUGGGAGUAGACGUUCAUUUUUUUUAGUCUGUUCGACUAUUAAAAUCUUACAUGAUUUGAGUUCAGACCGGCGUAAGCCAGGUCAGUUUCUAUCUUUAAUUUAUUAAUAAAAGAUUAGUACGAAAGGAUUGUUUUUUAAAAAUAAUUUUUGAUUGUGGGAAUAUAAUUUAAUUUUUG